rfam:Cucumis melo, WGS project CAJI01000000 data, contig: 17113
GAAUGAAAUGAUGAGCUUUUUUGUUUUGAUUGCUGUGAUGAUGGCAGUUUUAGUAUUAGCUCUAGCUGAUCAUUC